CUUAUACUGCUCCACUCUUUAAGAGUAGUGUUUAUGCCACCUGAAGCUGGCAGAGCAGUUUCCUUGUAACCUAGCUAAAGCAAUUUGGGGUCCUUAGGUAAAUGGAUUCUCUUUGGUCUUCAUGAAAUGCCCAGGGUAAGAAAUUAUUUUCUUCACUUUCGUAGGAAAACAUUUGCAUCAGAAUCAAAGGCCCUAAAUCAGAGAAGAGAGGGAGAAAGUUUGACCCCAGUUGGGGUUUAUGCUUGCUCUUGAAUGUGUAAAGUGCAUGGAUUACUAUAUAAUACCAUUAUAAUUGCUAUACUUAGUAUAUGUGGUACUGAAAAUUUUGUACUAAUGUUACUAAUGUUAAUGCUCUCUUUACCAUUUCUAAGUGUUUUUCUGUACUCACAACUCUCUUGAUUUCCAGUAACCCCUUAACCAGAGUGGAAGGAGAUGCUUUGGUAUUUAACCAAGUGGAAGGAGCCUUUGGGAUAGACUUACACAUUCUUUCUCCUCUAGAAGUCAGCAUACUCUUUUUAGCAGGGUUCUUUUGCCUUGGUUCAAAUAAAUCUGAACACAGGAAGAGAAAUUAGCAGUCAGCUUUGUUAGGAACUAGAGCUAAUAUUGACAGUAUUUCCAAGAGGAAAAAAUUAGUUCUGAGUCAGAAGACAAAAACCCUCAAAUCUAGAGGACUGGUUAAAAUUCUAAUCUUUCUGAGUACCUCUCUUUGAAGAGGGACACUCUCUGCACUAAGUAAAUAAUAAGAAAACAGAGAUCUUUAAGGAAAACCUGUGUUCUAGAUACCUCUCCCAUGAGGAUUAAGCCAGGGGGCUUAGUGUAACCUGAUCUUUUGUAUUAGCCUGGCAAAAGAUAUUUGUUUUAAAGGGAAUAUAUUUACAACCUAGAUUUUAAAAAUAAGUUAUUUUUUUUAGCUUGAGCUUCCAAGUAAACUGACAGUGAAAUUAUUUUAAUGUGCUUAUACUUUUGCAUGUCAAGCCAGGCUUAAUCUUUGAAAUGACUACUAAAAAAGUAUUAAUUUGCU
rnacentral:lncRNA from 1 species